AUAUCAUGUUGAAACACUGGUUCUCAUACGAUCACUAAAGUUAAGCAAUGUCGAACCUGAUCAGUACUUAGAUGGGUGAGUGCUUGGCAAUAACAGGU